GGUGAUAUGGCUCAGUGGCAGAGUGUUUGCUUACUAUGAGCGUGAGGCCUUAGGUUCAAUUCCUACUGCCACCC
rnacentral:tRNA from 1 species